rnacentral:rRNA from 1 species
AACGAACGCUGGCGGCAGGCCUAACACAUGCAAGUCGAACGCCCGUAGCAAUACGGGAGUGGCAGACGGGUGAGUAACGCGUGGGAACGUGCCCUUCGGUUCGGAAUAACUCAGGGAAACUUGAGCUAAUACCGGAUACGUCCGUAAGGAGAAAGAUUUAUCGCCGAAGGAUCGGCCCGCGUCGGAUUAGCUAGUUGGUGAGGUAAUGGCUCACCAAGGCGACGAUCCGUAGCUGGCUGAGAGGAUGAUCAGCCACACUGGGACUGAGACACGGCCCAGACUCCUACGGGAGGCAGCAGGUGGGGAAUAUUGGACAAUGGGCGAAAGCCUGAUCCAGCCAUGCCGCGUGAGUGAAGAAGGCCUUAGGGUUGUAAAGCUCUUUCAGCGGGGAAGAUAAUGACGGUACCCGCAGAAGAAGCCCCGGCUAACUUCGUGCCAGCAGCCGCCGCAGUAA